GACGAACGCUGGCGGCGUGCUUAACACAUGCAAGUCGAACGAUGAAGCUGGAGCUUGCUCCGGUGGAUUAGUGGCGAACGGGUGAGUAACACGUGAGCAAUCUGCCCUUCACUCUGGGAUAACUGCGGGAAACUGUAGCUAAUACCGGAUACGAGACCUUGGGGCAUCCCAGGGUCUGGAAAGAAUUUCGGUGAAGGAUGAGCUCGCGGCCUAUCAGCUAGUUGGUGAGGUAAUGGCUCACCAAGGCGACGACGGGUAGCCGGCCUGAGAGGGUGACCGGCCACACUGGGACUGAGACAUGGCCCAGACUCCUACGGGAGGCAGCAGUGGGGAAUAUUGCACAAUGGGCGAAAGCCUGAUGCAGCAACGCCGCGUGAGGGAUGAAGGCCUUCGGGUUGUAAACCUCUUUUAGUAGGGAAGAAGCGCAAGUGACGGUACCUACAGAAUAAGCACCGGCUAACUACGUGCCAGCCGCCGCUGUAA
rnacentral:rRNA from 1 species